rnacentral:rRNA from 1 species
CGAGACUUGUUGGAGCUUGCUCUGACAAGUUCAGUCGCGAACGGCUGAGUAACACGUAGGAAUCUACCCUUUAGUGGGGAAUACCUCGUCGAAAGACGAGCUAAUACCGCAUAAGAUCGACACGGUCGCAAGAUCGCAAGAUGAAAGAUGCAAAUCGCUGAAGGAGGAGCCUGCGGCUCAUCAGGUAGUUGGUAGGGUAAUGGCCUACCAAGCCAACGACGAGUAGGGGACGUGAGAGCGUGACCCCCCAGAACGGUACUGAGACACGGACCGUACACCUACGGGUGGCAGCAACCGGGAAUCGUGCGCAAUGGACGAAAGUCUGACGCUGCGACGCCGCGUGAAUGAUGAAGGCCUUAGGGUCGUAAAGUUCUUUUGCCAAAGGGGUGACCCUUUGGAGAAUAAGCACCGGCUAACUCUGUGCCAGCAUCAGCGGUAAUACAGAGGGUGCAAGCGUUG